AUCCAGCUGACGAGCCCCGGAUAGGACGAAACGCGCGUCCUGAAU
rnacentral:hammerhead_ribozyme from 1 species